UACGUAGGUGGCAAGCGUUGUCCGGAUUUACUGGGCGUAAAGGGAGCGUAGGCGGGCUUUUAAGUGAGAUGUGAAAUACUCGGGCUCAACUUGAGUGCUGCAUUUCAAACUGGAAGUCUAGAGUGCAGGAGAGGAGAAUGGAAUUCCUAGUGUAGCGGUGAAAUGCGUAGAGAUUAGGAAGAACACCAGUGGCGAAGGCGAUUCUCUGGACUGUAACUGACGCUGAGGCUCGAAAGCGUGGGGAGCAAACAGG
rnacentral:rRNA from 1 species